rnacentral:rRNA from 1 species
UGGGGAAUAUUGCGCAAUGGGCGAAAGCCUGACGCAGCGACGCCGCGUGAGGGAUGAAGGUUUUCGGAUCGUAAACCUCUGUCAGAAGGGAAGAAACCGCACUGUGCUAAUCAGCAGUGCCUUGACGGUACCUUCAAAGGAAGCACCGGCUAACUCCGUGCCAGCAGCCGCGGUAAUACGGAGGGUGCAAGCGUUAAUCGAAAUUACUGGGCGUAAAGCGCACGUAGGCUGCUUUGUAAGUCAGGGGUGAAAUCCCACGGCUCAACCGUGGAACUGCCUUUGAUACUGCUUAGCUUGAAUCCGGGAGAGGGUGGCGGAAUUCCAGGUGUAGGAGUGAAAUCCGUAGAUAUCUGGAGGAACAUCAGUGGCGAAGGCGGCCACCUGGACCGGUAUUGACGCUGAGGUGCGAAAGCGUGGGGAGCAAACAGG